rnacentral:rRNA from 1 species
AUUGAACGCUGGCGGCAUGCCUUACACAUGCAAGUCGAACGGUAACGGGCCUUCGGGUGCCGACGAGUGGCGAACGGGUGAGUAAUGUAUCGGAACGUACCUUUCAGUGGGGGAUAACGUAGCGAAAGUUACGCUAAUACCGCAUAUUCUGUGAGCAGGAAAGCAGGGGAUCGCAAGACCUUGCGCUGAUUGAGCGGCCGAUAUCAGAUUAGCUAGUUGGUGAGGUAAAGGCUCACCAAGGCGACGAUCUGUAGCGGGUCUGAGAGGAUGAUCCGCCACACUGGAACUGAGACACGGUCCAGACUCCUACGGGAGGCAGCAGUGGGGAAUUUUGGACAAUGGGGGCAACCCUGAUCCAGCCAUGCCGCGUGAGUGAAGAAGGCCUU